GUGCUCACUUUGGCAGCAUAUAAACUAAAAUUGGAAUAAUACUGAGAAGAUUAGCUUGGCCCUUAUGCAAAGAUGGCAUGCAAAUUCAUGAAGCAUUCCAUAUUUGG